AGGUCAGUCAAAGUAGAGAGAAUUAUAGCAGCAUAGUAUAUGGCACCUUCAUACCACCAUCCAACACAGUGGAAGUAGAAAGCUUCACUUAUGAAGAUAGAAUUAUCUGGCUUAACUAAUUUCAAAUGGAAGCAGGAAUAAUCAAGGAAAUUGCCACAGCCACUCCAGCCUUCAACAACUACCACCCUAAUCAUUCAGUGACUAUUAACAUCACGGCAAGAUCCUUCACCAGCAAAAAGAUCAACAAGAAGGCUCUAAUGAUGAUUAGAAUUUUUUAGCAAUAAAGCAUUUUAAAUUGUUAUGCA
rnacentral:lncRNA from 1 species